rnacentral:lncRNA from 1 species
UGUUCUCAAAGUACAGAGUAAUUAAUAUUAGAAAUGGGACUAAGUACAACUACCUUCUUCAUAGCUGACUCCUACCGUAUAGAAUCCACUUCUGGCUUACAAAGUUCCUGACCACAGAUGAGGGGACUAGGACAGUCUGCAGAGAAGGAUCCUAAUUGCUCUGUUCUAGCCAUGGUCAACUGACUACUAUAGGAGGAGGACACCAGGCAAGAGAGAAGUUUGGCUGGGCACAGAAAGACGAGAUAAUGGGCAAGUGUAGAAUCUGCACUGCUGGAAGGAAGAAGAAAGGAGGGCUUAAAUAUCCAUGCCAAAAUUUAGAAAUGGCGACAAUGCACUUCCUGAAGACUCCUCAUUCAUGAAACGUUCACUGCUCAUGAGGCCACUGGUUUUACAAGCAGUGAUUCAAAACCCGAGGCGCUUUAGGAGACAAUGAUGCACGAGCCAUGGCUAACACUGAGAAAAGCUGCUGAGAAUCUAUACUGAUUGUAUGGUGAACCACUCUGCUUCCUAACUGUGCCUCCCAGUCUGUCUGUGUCAGGUACACCUCAUUGCUGUGUCAGCUCCCCCCCCCCCCCCCCCCCAUUAAAAAUGAUCAUCUGUGAAGAUAGCCAAGAGGCUGUGUCCAUGUGCGAUGGCUGUGAGCAAAUGUGAACCUUUCCCCUGAGGUCAAGAAUCUUUGGAUAAAGCCUUUGGCAGCUGGGAGCUGGCUGUGACCACUGAUCACCCCUCUGCGGGUGGACAGGGCUCCCUUAAAAGCUGUCCCAGAGGGGACCAGAUCUCAGAGGAUCUUUGUCCUGUUUGGAUCUAGAGGCAAGAGGAUUGCAACAUGAUAUCUGUAACAAGACAGAAGUCAAAAAUGCAGAGAGCUGUGCAGUAUGAUUGCAGAGAGAAUUCAGUGCUGGUGGAAGUGACUGGAUUCACAGCAGUGGAAACAGAGAUGGAGACACCCUGUAUCAUGCAACAGCUGUCUGAAGGACUGCUGCAGGGCCAUGCACUGCCCUUCAUCUGCUCCCAGACAGGGCCAGAACCUGCUCAUAUCACCCCAUGGACCAGUU